UGGGGAAUAUUGCACAAUGGGCGCAAGCCUGAUGCAGCCAUGCCGCGUGUAUGAAGAAGGCCUUCGGGUUGUAAAGUACUUUCAGUCGGGAGGAAGGUGGUAAGGUUAAUAACAUUAUCAAUUGACGUUACCGACAGAAGAAGCACCGGCUAACUCCGUGCCAGCAGCCGCGGUAAUACGGAGGGUGCAAGCGUUAAUCGGAAUUACUGGGCGUAAAGCGCACGCAGGCGGUUGAUUGAGUCAGAUGUGAAAUCCCCGGGCUUAACCCGGGAAUUGCAUCUGAUACUGGUCAGCUGGAGUCUUGUAGAGGGGGGUAGAAUUCCAUGUGUAGCGGUGAAAUGCGUAGAGAUGUGGAGGAAUACCGGUGGCGAAGGCGGCCCCCUGGACAAAGACUGCCGCUCAUGUGCGAAAGCGUGGGGAGCAAACAGG
rnacentral:rRNA from 1 species